rnacentral:rRNA from 1 species
AUGAUUAAUAGGUAUUGGUGGAGCUAGACGGACAAGGAAAAUAAAGUGCAUUGGGUCAGUUCGAAGAGACUAACCAGGUCAAAAAGAAGUGGAGGCAUGGGGUUUAGGGAUUUACACGCGUUCAAUCUGGCCAUGCUAGCAAAGCAAGCAUGGAGGCUGCUCCCAAAUCCCACCUCAUUAUGUGCUCAGGUGCUUUCAGCAAGAUACUACCCAGAACGUUCAAUUGUACAAGCAAGUCCAAGAAGUGGCAUCUCUUAUGUAUGGUGAAGCAUUCUAAAAGGCGUUGAACUACCGAAGAAGGAGAUCAUAUGAAGAGUAGGGAGCGGCAAGGAUAUUAACAUAUGGUCUGACCCACGGAUCACGAGAGGCAGCACCAGAAAGGUCAUCACCCAAAAGGGUAAUAACUUGAUAACUAAAGUCAGUGAGCUAAUUAACCCAAUCACGAACAAGUGGGACGAAGAACUAGUGAAGCAGACAUUUAUUCCGGAAGAUACAAGAAUUAUCCUUCAGAUCCCAGUCCAAGACCAUAUUGAGGACUUUAUGGCAUGGCACUAUGAUAAAAAAGGUAUACUUUCAGUUAAAUCUGCAUAUAAAGUUGCAAUUGAUUUGCAGCUCGGGAAUCUAGCUCAGGACUAA